UACAGAGGGUGCAAGCGUUAAUCGGAAUUACUGGGCGUAAAGAGUGCGCAGGUUGCAUAAUAAGUGUUAUGUGAAAUACCUGGGCUUAACCUGGGAAUUGCAUAAUAUACUGUAAUGCUAGAGUCUUGUAGAGGAUAGCGGAAUUCCCGGUGUAGCGGUGAAAUGCGUAGAUAUCGGGAGGAACAUCAGUUGCGAAGGCGGCUAUCUGGACAUAGACUGACACUGAGGCACGAAAGCGUGGGUAGCAAACAGG
rnacentral:rRNA from 1 species